UACGGGGGGGGCAAGCGUUGUUCGGAAUUACUGGGCGUAAAGGGCUCGUAGGCGGCCAACUAAGUCAGACGUGAAAUCCCCAGGCUUAACCUGGGAACUGCAUUCGAGACUGCAUUGCUAGAGUAUGGGAGAGGGAAGUGGAAUUUCCGGUGUAGCGGUGAAAUGCGUAGAUAUCGGAAGGAACAUCAGUGGCGAAAGCGACUUCCUGGACCAAUACUGACGCUCAUGUGCGAAAGCGUGGGGAGCAAACAGG
rnacentral:rRNA from 1 species